rnacentral:rRNA from 1 species
ACGAUGCGUAGGGGUUCUGAGAGGAAGGUCCCCCACACUGGUACUGAGACACGGACCAGACUCCUACGGGAGGCAGCAGUGAGGAAUAUUGGUCAAUGGGCGGGAGCCUGAACCAGCCAAGUCGCGUGAGGGAAGACGGUCCUAUGGAUUGUAAACCUCUUUUGCCGGGGAGCAACGGGGUCCUUGCGAGGGCCUAAUGAGAGUACCCGGAGAAAAAGCAUCGGCUAACUCCGUGCCAGCAGCCGCGGUAAUACGGAGGAUGCGAGCGUUAUCCGGAUUUAUUGGGUUUAAAGGGUGCGUAGGCGGGCUGUUAAGUCAGCGGUCAAAUGUCGGGGCUCAACCCCGGCCUGCCGUUGAAACUGGUGGCCUCGAGUGGGCGAGAAGUAUGCGGAAUGCGUGGUGUAGCGGUGAAAUGCAUAGAUAUCACGCAGAACUCCGAUUGCGAAGGCAGCAUACCGGCGCCCGACUGACGCUGAGGCACGAAAGCGUGGGUAUCGAACAGGAUUAGAUACCCUGGUAGUCCACGCAGUAAACGAUGAAUGCUAGCUGUCCGGG